UCCUCCCUCUUUCUUCGUGCUUAACACAUGCAAGUCGAACGGGCCCGCUCUCUUUUUUGGGGGUGGGUUGAGUGGCGAACGGGUGAGUAUCCCGUGAGUAACCUGCCCCCUGCUCCUGGAUAACUGCUUGAAAGGGCGGCUAAUACGGGGUGUGCCGGCUGGUCCGCAUGGGCCUGGUCGGGAUAGUUUCAUCUUCUGGUGUUUCGGUGGGGGAUGGGCUCGCGGCCUAUCAGCUUGUUUGUGGGGUGAUUGCCCACCAAGGCGGUGACGGGUAGCCGGUCUGAGAGGGUGGGCGGCCAAACGGGGACUGAGACACGGCCCAGACGCCUGCGGGAGGGAGCAGUGGGGGGUAGUGAACAAUGGGCGGAAGCCUGAUGCAGCGGAGUCGUGUGGGGGAUGGAGGCCGUCGGGUUGUGAACCUCUUUCUCCGGUGGUGAAGGCCCUGUCCGUUGCGGCGGGGUUGACGGUAGCCGGGUAUGAAGCGCCGGCUAACUACGUG
rnacentral:rRNA from 1 species